rnacentral:rRNA from 1 species
AUUGAACGCUGGCGGCAGGCUUAACACAUGCAAGUCGAGCGGGGGAAGGUAGCUUGCUACCGGACCUAGCGGCGGACGGGUGAGUAAUGCUUAGGAAUCUGCCUAUUAGUGGGGGACAACAUCUCGCAAGGGAUGCUAAUACCGCAUACGUCCUACGGGAGAAAGCAGGGGAUCUUCGGACCUUGCGCUAAUAGAUGAGCCUAAGUCGGAUUAGCUAGUUGGUGGGGUAAAGGACUACCAAGGGGACGAUCGGUAGCGGGGCUGAGAGGAUGAUCCGCCACACUGGGACUGAGACACGGCCCAGACUCCUACGGGAGGCAGCAGUGGGGAAUAUUGGACAAUGGGGGGAACCCUGAUCCAGCCAUGCCGCGUGUGUGAAGAAGGCCUUAUGGUUGUAAAGCACUUUAAGCGAGGAGGAGGCUACUUUAGUUAAUACCUAGAGAUAGUGGACGUUACUCGCAGAAUAAGCACCGGCUAACUCUGUGCCAGCCGCCGCCGUAA